rnacentral:rRNA from 1 species
UCAGUCGACUCCUACGGGAGGCAGCAGUGGGGAAUCUUGGACAAUGGGGGGCAACCCUGAUCCAGCCAUGCCGCGUGAGUGAUGAAGGCCUUAGGGUCGUAAAGCUCUUUCGCCUGUGAAGAUAAUGACGGUAGCAGGUAAAGAAACCCCGGCUAACUCCGUGCCAGCAGCCGCGGUAAUACGGAGGGGUUAGCGUUGUUCGGAAUUACUGGGCGUAAAGCGCACGUAGGCGGACUGGAAAGUUAGGGGGUGGAAAUACCCACGGGCUCAACCCUCGGAACUGCCUCCAAAACUAAUCAGUCUAGAGUUCGAGAGAGGUGAGUGGAAUUCCGAGUGUAGAGGUGAAAUUCGUAGAUAUUCGGAGGAACACCAGUGGCGAAGGCGGCUCACUGGCUCGAUACUGACGCUGAGGUGCGAAAGUGUGGGGAGCAAACAGGAUUAGAUACCCUGGUAG